rnacentral:tRNA from 1 species
AGCGAAGUGGCGCAGUGGAAGCGUGUUGGGCCCAUAACCCAAAGGUCCCAGGAUCGAAACCUGGCUUCGCUA